rnacentral:lncRNA from 1 species
AAAAAUGCACGGUGAGGGGAGAGAGACAGAGAGUGAUGAAGAGAAGAAAAGAAAGGGAGAACUUCCAUCAAAGGAGGAAGAAGAGAAAGAAGGAGAAGAAGACGACGGAGAGAGAAGUUGCCACCGCCACUUUCUUCACCUCCAGCACCGUCUCUGCCUUGCGCUGUUGUUGUUGUUUCUACCUUGCGCUGCCAGAUCUGCCACUACUGUAAUCCCUCUUCUCUGCUCGCCGUUGUCGUGUUUCUCAUUGCUCGAGCUCAUGCCUUGUUCUGCUCUGCUCC